rnacentral:rRNA from 1 species
CCUACGGGUGGCAGCAGUGAGGAAUAUUGGUCAAUGGCCGAGAGGCUGAACCAGCCAAGUCGCGUGAGGGAUGACUGCCCUAUGGAUUGUAAACCUCUUUUGUCUGGGAGUAAAGUCUUCCACGUGUGGGAGUUUGUGAGUACCUGAUGAAUAAGCAUCGGCUAACUCCGUGCCAGCAGCCGCGGUAAUACGGAGGAUGCGAGCGUUAUCCGGAUUUAUUGGGUUUAAAGGGUGCGUAGGGGGGUUAUCAAGUCAGCGGUAAAAUUGUGGGGCUCAACGCUAACCAGCCGUUGAAACUGACAGUCUUGAGUAGGCGAGAGGUAUGCGGAAUGCGUGGUGUAGCGGUGAAAUGCAUAGAUAUCACGCAGAACUCCGAUUGCGAAGGCAGUUUACCGG